CCUACGGGUGGCAGCAGUGAGGAAUAUUGGUCAAUGGGCGUAAGCCUGAACCAGCCAAGUCGCGUGAGGGAUGAAGGUUCUAUGGAUCGUAAACCUCUUUUAUAAGGGCAUAAAGUGUGGGACGUGUCCUAUUUUGUAUGUACCUUAUGAAUAAGGAUCGGCUAACUCCGUGCCAGCAGCCGCGGUAAUACGGAGGAUCCGAGCGUUAUCCGGAUUUAUUGGGUUUAAAGGGUGCGUAGGCGGGCUGUUAAGUCAGUGGUGAAAGUCUGUGGCUCAACCCUAGAAUUGCCGUUGAUACUGGGGGGCUUGAGUAUAGUUGAGGCAGGCGGAAGGCGUGGUGUAGCGGUGAAAUGCUUAGAUAUCACGCAGAACCCCGAUUGCGAAGGCAGCCUGCCAAGCCAUGACUGACGCUGAUGCACGAAAGCGUGGGGAUCAAACAGGAUUAGAUACCCCAGUAGUC
rnacentral:rRNA from 1 species